rnacentral:misc_RNA from 1 species
AGCCAAUGGAGUAAAUGUGCGACAACACAACCAAGAAACAGCAAUGGCGUCGAAGCGUGCGCAGGCAGCAAUGGCUGGGGCUAUUGACACUGUGCUGUAGCUGCUUGCUGUGCGGAUGGAGGACUUGGCACCACAGCUGGGUGGCAUACUCGUCGGUGACACCAGCAGUGAUGAGCCCAACUCACAGAGCACACUGUAUUCUGGCGGCAUCAGUGUCCCUGUGACCUUGGUGGUGUCGGGUGGCCUCCCUGACCAAGCAGAUAUGGAAACCCACAGCAGUGCCAUGUUGUCCACUCUAGCACUACAUACUGAUGAUGGUUGUGGCCCAGCAACACAAUUUUUUCUUGAGCAACUAGCUGAUGGCCAAACACGCCUAAAAACUGCAGACGGGCAUAUGUUGGAAGUUGACAUUGACCCAGGAACUGUUGGCCUUGUUCAAGGGAAUUCUGGAGUUCCUGUGCUACUCCAGGUGUCACCUGAUGGGACAUUACUCCAGAGAGAUGAUGUGCAGAUAGCAUUGGCAGCAUCGGGCGCAGUGGCUGAUAACUCCACUGACAGCACAGAGGAACAACGCGAGGGAGCUGGCAGCUCUACACCUUGUGAAGACUCGGAAGAACCCAUGUUUCAAGAUGGGGAGCCGAUGCCUCUACAGAUGUACCUCCAGGUGGGUAAGGAAGCAGCUGAUGAGAACAGUGCCUCCAUGGAGGAUGUUGUCCAGGCAAAUACUGGCACUGCUGUUGCCAUUGUCACUCCUGAUGGUGACGAAUCGGAUGCUGAUGAACUGCCAACACCCACUGUUGUUCGACGUGUAGAGCGAGUGGAACGUCUGGAGGAUUUUAUGGAUGUGGUGACUACAUAUCACUGCAAGUUCUGUAGCUUCUCCUGUGCCUGGCGCUCUGGACUUAUGUCCCACUUCAGGAGUUGCCACGUGGCCCCAUCAUCAGGCAGCAGCUUCGAUCCCAUUGAACGACCUGUUAACAGCAGACCCGCAGUAAAGCCAGCAUCCAAAACUGCCCGAGCAGGCAGCAAUGCGGUGGCUUUUGCCCUGACUACAACAGGUCCUGGUUUGAACACUGCUGUUGCUGGCGCUGCUACUGGUGCAGGAGCUGAGCCAAGCAUAGAAGUUGACACUGGUGCUACGCAGCCUGCAGUGACUGGUCCAGAGGAGCCUCCUCAGCCUCCCACCGGCACACCAGCCAACACGCAAGUCAGUGAAACUACAUCAAAGCUGGCUACUGACACUGUACCCAGUCGUGCUCCUAUGGAUGCUUCCUUAGUGCUGGAGAGUGCACUGGCCAGUAUGGUGUCCACUGGCAGCAAUGAAGUGCUGCCAAGUGGCAGCAGCCUGCUCCCAAGGGGUGAGGAUGGUCAACCAGUGCCAGCCCAAGAGCGACACAUUUUCAUCUGUGGACAGUGCAGUCAUGGCUUUGGCUCCCUGGAUGAAUGCAAGGAACACAUGGUUGAGGUACAUGACUUGAAAGUUGCUGCCGAGUGUGGUGUAGAGUCAAAGAAGACUGCAACUGGCCGCAAGCGAGGCCGGCCACGAGUUAUGCCUGAACUAUCCAGCAGUGCAUCCGGCACAUCCUGCACAGCUACUACUGGCUCUGAUGUGAUCGAAGGUGCAUUGCAGUCUGUUGAUGAUGGGGAUUUGGAUGAUGGCAGCAAUGAAGCACUUGGCAAGCGUAGAGUACGCCCUCCUAAGAACCUCGAGGAAGACUACUUAGUAGCUCCAGCUAGAAGACGGCGUGCAAAGAAAGAAAAUGCUGCUGAGAGGCAAUACAGGUGCGGGGAACGCAGUUGUGGUUACCGUUUCCGUACUGAAAGCAGCCUUGAAUAUCAUGGGCGGUGCCAUACACCCACUGGCACCCGACCAUACCGCUGUCCAGAGUGUGGGGAACAGAGAGACCAUUGGCGCAGCCUUGCUAUGCAUCUUUGGAGAAGUCACAUGCUGGACUUGGACUUGCACAGGUGUGCUCAGUGCGAGUACCGGACAUUCAGUGCUUUCAAGCUUGAGAACCACGCACGAAUUCAUAGUGAGGAGCGUGACUUCACAUGUGCCCAGUGCGGAAAGGGUUUCAAGCAGCUCUCACAGCUACGUAACCAUCAUGUUGUGCAUUUGGACCGCAAGAACACACCACAUAAACGUUGGUACAGCCAGCAGACCUGUGAACUUUGUCAGCGCACAUUCUCAGACUCCAAAUGUUUACGCAAGCACCAUCAAGCAGUUCAUGGAAAGGUGAAGCCAUAUGUGUGCUCGUUCUGUGGCCACAUGUCUGCACGCAAGGCCAUGCUACAACUGCACCUCCGCCAGCACACAGGGGAGAAGCCAUUUGCAUGCAACCUGUGCGAGUACCGCACAGGCGACCACAAUUCACUGCGCAGGCACAAAAUGCGUCACUCUGGUACCAAGCCGUACAAGUGCCCACACUGCCCUUACGCCUGCAUCCAGGCUAUCUCAUACAAGAUGCACAUGAAAAACAAGCAUCCUGGCUUGGAUGGAUUGUAUGCCUGUUCACUAUGCAGUUUUCGUUCAGUAAGCAAGGAGAACUACACCAACCACAUGUCAGACCAUAAACGAGGUUUCCUUGCCGUGCCUGCCCAGCUUUCCAGUCCGAGCACAGCCAACUCUACAGCUAGCACAGAAGGCGAAGGACUGCAGUUGCCUGAAGGCACCCUGCAGCAGCUGGAAGGUAUUCUACCAGGCAACUUAAAUGCAGCUCAACUCAUCUAUAGCUGUUUAAGUGCCCUACAGCAGGAAGGGGGAUCUGCCAACCUGCCUCCUGGUGUAACUACAUACUCAACUGGUGAUGGCACACAGACAAUCACUAUACAGGUUCCCUCAUCCACAGCAGGAGAUGACAGUGGAUCAUCACUUCUGGCAACACCUUCUGAACAAGACCAGUUUUAUUUGACAGUACAACAACAGGAAGAUGGAAGUAUGGCUUACCUGAGUGGGGAGGGAUUUUCGUCACAGGGAGCUGAUAUGGACGACGAUGCUGCAGGCCUCAAGAUCAGUGCUGUGCACUUCACAGGAAGCAGAUAAUGCUGUUUCAAAGGCUCCUAUACCCUGGAACUGCUGCAUGUGAACUGAAACAGGCCCAGAGUGCGGAAACUCAACUUUCACAUCUGCAUCAUCAUCAUUAGAAGCUUGAUGCUCAUGCAAACAGUAUCUGUUGACGCCAUGUGCAGCUUCUGUACUGCAGGCCUCACAGUUGUGCCAUGAGCUCAGUUCAGUCUGUGAUUAGGUUGUGAUGGUGUGCUUUAUGAGUACUAUGAGGCUGCAUUUUAACACAUUUUUGUUUUGUGGUAGAACUGGAAUGGUGGGCUUUGACCCUGAGUACUGUGAAGCAGAUUUUUUUUCCUCUUAAGCUGUCAGGCAGCCCAUUGUUUUUACUUGUCUACAGAUUUUUUGAAUGAGGAUGCUAUUGCCAAUUUUUUGCAUGAUAAUUCAAACGAGCCUCUGGUUCAGCCAGACCAACAAUUUCUGUUUUUAUUUGCUAGAUGAGCAAUUCUUUUUUACUAUACAAACUAGCAGAAGGUCUAGUAUGCUAAUUGUUUGAACAGUUGCUUGGAAAAUGGUGCACUGUACUGUGAUGCUGCUCUAUAUCACUGUAGUAUGCUG